rnacentral:rRNA from 1 species
AUAAUACUCCAUAGAUUAGAGACACUGGAAUGUUCUUUAGUCGAAAGUUCUGGCGCCUUAGGAUGGAUCUGCGGUCGAUUAGGUUGUUGUUGGGGUAACGGCCCAACAAGCCUGUAACCGAUACGGGUUGUGGGAGCAAGAGCCCGGAGAUGGAAUCUGAGACACGAUUCCAGGCCCUACGGGGCGCAGCAGGCGCGAAAACUUUACAAUGCAGGAAACUGUGAUAAGGGAACUCCGAGUGCCCGUAUACGCGGGCUGUCCAGGUGUUUAAAAAUCAUCUGAAGAAAGGGCCGGGCAAGACCGGUGCCAGCCGCCGCGGUAAUACCGGCGGCUCGAGUGGUGGCCACUAUUAUUGGGCUUAAAGCGUCCGUAGCUGGACCGAUAAGUCUCUUGGGAAAUCCGCCGGCUCAACCGGCGGGCGUCUAAGGGAUACUGUUAGUCUAGGGACCGGGAGAGGUGAGAGGUACUCCGGGGGUAGGAGUGAAAUCCUGUAAUCCCCGGGGGACCACCGAUGGCGAAGGCAUCUCACCAGAACGGCUCCGACAGUGAGGGACGAAAGCUGGGGGAGCGAACCGGAUUAGAUACCCGGGUAGUCCCAGCCGUAAACUAUGCGCGUUAGGUGU